UUUCGAAACUGGGAAUUCCA
rnacentral:snRNA from 1 species